AGGUCACGGCGCGCUCACAAUGGAGCUCUCGGAGUCUGUGCAGAAAGGCUUCCAGAUGCUGGCGGAUCCCGGCUCCUUCGACUCCAACGCCUUCACGCUUCUCCUCCGGGCGGCAUUCCAGAGUCUGCUGGACGCCCAGGCGGACGAGGCCGUGUUAGAUCAUCCAGACUUGAAACAUAUCGACCCAGUGGUUUUAAAACAUUGUCAUGCAGCAGCUGCAACUUACAUACUAGAGGCAGGAAAGCACCGAGCUGACAAGUCAACUCUAAGCACUUAUCUAGAAGACUGUAAAUUUGACAGAGAGCGAAUAGAACUGUUUUGCACGGAAUAUCAGAAUAAUAAGAAUUCCCUAGAAAUCCUACUGGGAAGGUAGGUACUGUAUAAGGUGUCAAGCUGAGGCACUUUUCACUUGCAGGUAUGAAUGGAGAGUGUUGGUGUGAAACAAGAUCUUCGGGAUCUUGACCCAAAGAAAAGGAGCCAAAGGGCAUGUCAAACAAUUGAAGUUAAGCUAAUGUUUUUAAAGAUAGUUUAUUGAGAUGAUUUUGAAAUGCUCCUUUACCAUUCAGAAUUUAAAAAUAAAGUUUAACAAUGGUUUAAAUUCAGAAUGGAUUAAAAUGGAGUUGGGGGUGGAAAGUAGAGCCAUUCUUAGUAAAUAAUAAAUAACUGAAAAGUUCUUUUGAGAAGACUAUGUACAAAGUUAUCAUUGCAUCUUUCAGUAUAGGCAGAUCGCUCCCUCAUAUAACGGAUGUUUCUUGGCGCUUGGAAUAUCAGAUAAAGGUAUAGUUUAAGAAACUUCUCUAGGGGGGAUUUAGGGAACUUCUUAAAACCUAGAGUUAAAAGCUGUUACGUGUUUGUUGUGUUAUUUUAGACCAAUCAACUUCAUAGGAUGUACAGACCUGCAUAUUUGGUGACCUUAAGUGUACAGGUAUUUAUAGAUAAGUCUUAUCCAGUAAUGAAAUUUAUAAUUUUAUUGAUUUAAAUAAACAGCGUUUUUUGUUGCGUGUUUUUUUUCCUGCCCUAGAACACUGAUUCCCCAUCCUAUCCAGAGAUUAGUUUUAGUUGCAGCAUGGAACAAUUACAGGUACAGUAUUAGGAUCUAUAAAUAUGCCUGUCUUUUUAUAAAUGUUUACUUGAGAGUUAUACUCUUGGAAAGUUCAAAAGAAAAUUAACCAUUUGUCAGCAGAUAAUGAAGAUUGGUUAAGGAUUUAAUGUGAAAGGGGCAUCAAAAGUAGUAUUUUAAGAUAGGCUUCACUUGAAAUUAAGAUGUUAUUAAUAGAGAAUUGGUCUGUAUUUGCUGUUCUUGCUGAUUAAAAUAAACUUCUGUAGUGUUUAGUGUAAA
rnacentral:sRNA from 1 species